GAACCAACAAAAAUAAUUAUGAUUGCCGAAACCCGGGAUUGAACCGGGGACCUUUAGAUCUUCAGUCUAACGCUCUCCCAACUGAGCUAUUUCGGCACUUG